UGCGCCUGCGGCGGACCCGGCACGAACCGAAUCAUCGGCUUCGCAGGCAGCCGGUUCGUGUACGGUCUGGUAACGACCGGAAUUAUCCGGGCUUUAACGAUUUCU
rnacentral:sRNA from 1 species